rnacentral:misc_RNA from 1 species
GCAAACUUGGUCAUUUAGAGGAAGUAAAAGUCAUAACAAGGUUUCCGUAGGUGAACCUGCGGGAGGAUCAUUAGUGAAUAAUCUGUGCUGUGUUAAUUUUUUGUUGGAAUCCUGACAAAAAACAACACCACAUUCUAUCCACUUUAUCACUACCCUUAUGUGAACAUUCAUCUUAUCGGGCGGCGCAAAGCCGGUCGAGGCAGAUUUAGCCAAAUUACGCUUUUUUUAAGAGCAGUUUGUUUGAUUAUAAAAACAAAAAACUUUCAGUGACGGAUCUCUUGGCUCUCGCAUCGAUGAAGAACGCAGC